rnacentral:rRNA from 1 species
UGUAAAGUUCUUUUACCUGAGAGCAAAGUUUAGUUGUUAAUAGCAAUUAGAGCUGAGAGUAUCAGGAGAAUAAGCACCGGCUAACUACGUGCCAGCAGCCGCGGUAAUACGUAGGGUGCGAGCGUUAAUCGGAAUUACUGGGCGUAAAGGGUGCGCAGGCGGUUGUGAAAGUUAGAAGUGAAAGUCCCGAGCUUAACUUGGGGAUUGCUUUUAAUACUACAUAACUAGAGUUAGUCAGAGGGGGGUAGAAUUCCAAGUGUAGCAGUGAAAUGCGUAGAUAUUUGGAGGAAUACCGAUGGCGAAGGCAGCCCCCUGGGAUGUAACUGACGCUCAGGCACGAAAGCGUGGGUAGCAAACAGGAUUAGAUACCCUGGUAGUCCACGCCCUAAACGAUGUUUACUUGCUGUUGGGAAGAGAUUCUUAGUAGCGAAGCUAACGCG